rnacentral:rRNA from 1 species
UACAGAGGUCUCAAGCGUUGUUCGGAUUCAUUGGGCGUAAAGGGUGCGUAGGCGGCGCGGUAAGUCGGGUGUGAAAUCUCGGAGCUUAACUCCGAAACUGCAUUCGAUACUGCCCGUGCUUGAGGACUGGAGAGGAGACUGGAAUUUACGGUGUAGCGGUGAAAUGCGUAGAUAUCGUAAGGAAGACCAGUGGCGAAGGCGGGUCUCUGGACAGUUCCUGACGCUGAGGCACGAAGGUCAGGGGAGCAAACGGG